rnacentral:lncRNA from 1 species
CGGGUCACGCCACACAGUUUUUAAACUAGAUACCCCAAUGAUGAUUGAGGCCAAGUUUGUUUAAAUUUGGCCUGAUAGUUUCAGAGGAGAAUAUUUUUGUAAAAGAUUACCAAGAUUUACGAAAAAUGGUUAAAAAUUGACUAUAAAGAGCAAUAACUCCUAAAGGGGUCAACUGACCAUUUUGGUUAUGUUGACUUAUUUG